rnacentral:sRNA from 1 species
UCAAUAAGCGGAGGAAAAGAAACCAACAGGGAUUGCCCUAGUAACGGCGAGUGAAGCGGCAACAGCUCAAAUUUGAAAUCUGGCGUCUUUGGCGUCCGAGUUGUAAUUUGCAGAGGGCGCUUUGGCAUUGGCAGCGGUCCAAGUUCCUUGGAACAGGACGUCACAGAGGGUGAGAAUCCCGUACGUGGUCGCUAGCCUUUACCGUGUAAAGCCCCUUCGACGAGUCGAGUUGUUUGGGAAUGCAGCUCUAAAUGGGAGGUAAAUUUCUUCUAAAGCUAAAUACUGGCCAGAGACCGAUAGCGCACAAGUAGAGUGAUCGAAAGAUGAAAAGCACUUUGGAAAGAGAGUUAAAAAGCACGUGAAAUUGUUGAAAGGGAAGCGCUUGCAGCCAGACUUGCCUGUAGUUGCUCAUCCGGGUUUUUACCCGGUGCACUCUUCUACGGGCAGGCCAGCAUCAGUUUGGGCGGUUGGAUAAAGGUCUCUGUCACGUACCUCCUCUCGGGGAGAUCUUAUAGGGGAGACGACAUGCAACCAGCCUGGACUGAGGUCCGCGCAUCUGCUAGGAUGCUGGCGUAAUGGCUGUAAGCGGCCCGUCUUGAAACACGGACCAAGGAGUCUAACAUCUAUGCGAGUGUUUGGGUGUCAAGCCCGAGCGCGUAAUGAAAGUGAACGGAGGUGGGAACCUUUCGGGGUGCACCAUCGACCGAUCCUGAUGUCUUCGGAUGGAUUUGAGUAAGAGCAUAGCUGUUGGGACCCGAAAGAUGGUGAACUAUGCUUGAAUAGGGUGAAGCCAGAGGAAACUCUGGUGGAGGCUCGCAGCGGUUCUGACGUGCAAAUCGAUCGUCAAAUUUGGGCAUAGGGGCGAAAGA